rnacentral:rRNA from 1 species
UACGUAAGUGGCGAGCGUUAUCCGGAAUUACUGGGCGUAAAGCGUGCGUAGGCGGUUUAGUGUGUGGGAUUUGAAAGCCCGGGGCUCAACUCCGGAUCCGGAUCCCAAACUGCUAGACUCGAGAGUAUCAGAGGAGAGCGGAAUUCCCGGUGUAGCGGUAAUAUGCGUAGAUAUCGGGAGGAAGGCCGGUGGCGAAGGCGGCGCUCUGGGACGGUACUGACGCUGAGACGCGAAAGCGUGGGGAGCGAACAGG